GUUGCUUUUUUGCAGGUGCGGAGGCAUCGGUUGUGUGGCCCAAAGGGUGACGGCAGAGAGGUGGGAAUUGAGAAGCAACGUGGGGUAUGGGCUGACUCAGGCAAGGUGCUGUAGGAGCAAAGCGUCACGGUGACGAGCGGACUGAGAAGGUGAGGCGGUUGUGGGCUGUGUGGGCAUCUGAAAGGGCGGU